AUUGAACGCUGGCGGCAUGCCUUACACAUGCAAGUCGAACGGCAGCACGGGUGCUUGCACCUGGUGGCGAGUGGCGAACGGGUGAGUAAUACAUCGGAACAUGUCCUGUAGUGGGGGAUAGCCCGGCGAAAGCCGGAUUAAUACCGCAUACGAUCCACGGAUGAAAGCGGGGGACCUUCGGGCCUCGCGCUAUAGGGUUGGCCGAUGGCUGAUUAGCUAGUUGGUGGGGUAAGGCCCCACCAAGGCGACGAGCAGUAGCUGGUCUGAGAGGACGACCGGCCACACUGGGACUGAGCCACGGCCCAGACUCCUGCGGGAGGCAGCAGUGGGGAAUGUUGGACAAUGGGCGAAAGCCUGAUCCAGCAAUGCCGCGUGUGUGAAGAAGGCCUUCGGGUUGUAAAGCACUUUUGUCCGGAAAGAAAUCCUUGGCUCUAAUGCAGUCGGGGGAUGACGGUACCGGAAGAAUAAGCACCGGCUAACUACGUG
rnacentral:rRNA from 1 species